GGUUAAGUUAUUAAGGGCGCAUGGUGGAUGCCUUGGCACUAGGAGCCGAUGAAGGACGUGACUAACUGCGAUAAGCUUCGGGGAGUUGUAAGUAAACUGUGAUCCGGAGAUUUCCGAAUGGGGAAACCCAGCAGGAGUAAAGACCUGUUAUCACUGAGUGAAUACAUAGCUCAGUUGAAGGU
rnacentral:rRNA from 1 species